UGGUGUUUUUUUAAAUGAAACCAUUUAAACCUAUUCUUGUACAGCCUCAAAAUACAAUUAUGAACCUGAAAAUGAGCAGAAUAUGGACACUUUAAACAUGUCAUAACAUCCCU